CAGGGAAUCUUGCGCAAUGGACGGGAGUCCGACGCAGCGACGCCGCGUGGGUGAAGACGGCCUUCGGGUUGUAAAGCCCUUUUCUGGGGGAAGAGAGAGGACGGUACUCCAGGAAUAAGUGUCGGCUAACUACGUGCCAGCAGCCGCGGUAAUACGUAGGACACGAGCGUUAUCCGGAUUUACUGGGCGUACAGCGCCUGUAGGCGGUUCUUCAAGUCGUUCGUGAAAGCCCUGGGCUCAACCUGGGGAGGCCAAGCGAUACUGGAGGACUUGAGGGUGACAGAGGGGAGUGGAAUUUCCGGUGUAGCGGUAAAAUGCGCAGAUAUCGGGAGGAACACCAGUGGCGAAGGCGGCUCCCUGGGUCACCCCUGACGCUGAGAGGCGAAAGCUAGGGGAGCAAACAG
rnacentral:rRNA from 1 species